rnacentral:rRNA from 1 species
UACAGAGGUCUCAAGCGUUGUUCGGAUCAUUGGGCGUAAAGGGUGCGUAGGCGGCGCGGUAAGUCGGGUGUGAAAUCUCGGAGCUUAACUCCGAAACUGCAUUCGAUACUGCCGUGCUUGAGGACUGGAGAGGAGACUGGAAUUUACGGUGUAGCGGUGAAAUGCGUAGAUAUCGUAAGGAAGACCAGUGGCGAAGGCGGGUCUCUGGACAGUUCCUGACACUGGAGAACACGGAAGGCCAGGGGAGCAAACGGG